GAUGAACGCUGGCGGCGUGCCUAAUACAUGCAAGUCGAGCGAACGGACGAGAAGCUUGCUUCUCUGAUGUUAGCGGCGGACGGGUGAGUAACACGUGGAUAACCUACCUAUAAGACUGGUAUAACUUCGGGAAACCGGAUCUAAUACCGGAUAAUAUUUUGAACCGCAUGGUUCAAAAGUGAAAGACGGUCUUGCUGUCACUUAUAGAUGGAUCCGCGCUGCAUUAGCUAGUUGGUAAGGUAACGGCUUACCAAGGCAACGAUGCAUAGCCGACCUGAGAGGGUGAUCGGACACACUGGAACUGAGACACGGUCCAGACUCCUACGGGAGGCAGCAGUAGGGAAUCUUCCGCAAUGGGCGAAAGCCUGACGGAGCAACGCCGCGUGAGUGAUGAAGGUCUUCGGAUCGUAAAACUCUGUUAUUAGGGAAGAACAUAUGUGUAAGUAACUGUGCACAUCUUGACGGUACCUAAUCAGAAAGCCACGGCUAACUACGUG
rnacentral:rRNA from 1 species